AACCGGACCAAGCGAAAUACAGGGGCAGAGGAGGCAGCAGGGAGGCCCUGGGAGCUCUUUGAAUCCCCAGGUAGCCUAUUCCUGCCUGGCACCACUGGGAUUCAUCAGGAGGGAGGCCAGAGGAGCAGGAGGUGGGAGGCGGAAAGCCUCGGGCAAGUUUUCAAGCCCGUCCUCUGUCUGGAAACAGACUCAGAGGUGUUGCAGGGGACACGGUGGGAGUGAGACCAGCCCUUCGGUGUGCGUGGGAUCUGGGGGAGGCCUGUGACUGCCGGCUUUCCCCUGCUUCUCUGACAACCUGCAUGACUCAGCAGAGGCAGCCAUAAUCCUGGAGAGCCCCGGUUUAAGAUCUCCAGGUGAAGUAGAUUUUUAUUUCAGAACCUUCAGGAAGGGGAGAGUGGCUCAUGGGCUGAGUGGAUAAACCACAAAAUGGGUAAUAUACUAUAGGUGGGGCUCCUGGAAAGAUGGGUUAAUCCUGCCUAUAGCAGGGAAUAGGCAACCGGACCUUCCUAGGGACGAGCGAUUCCUCGAGGAUAAGGAUUUAGACUUUAAUGUCUCCCUAGCAAAAGGGUUGAAG
ensembl:lncRNA ALOX12P2 arachidonate 12-lipoxygenase pseudogene 2